rnacentral:lncRNA from 1 species
CACAUGUACAUGACAGGGGUUACAUUAGGGCCCUUUCCUGCCUGAGGAUCACACUGGACUUUGGGACCUGCAGUCACACAUAGGCAUGGAGGUUGAACACAUCACUGUGGCAGAACAUCUUUCAGUGGAACCUUGCUCAAUUCUGGGGCAAGUCCACGUUUUGUGAGACUGAAACUUAUACUUGGGAGACCCUCUUCAAAUAAAAGAGUAAAAACUUGCAAAUAGUAAAUUAGGUUCAGGCCCCUUGGAAGAGGUUCAUAUAAGUGAGGGGCCUGAAGCUUAUGCUUCACUGGGUUCCUGAUAAAUCCAUCUCUGCUUAGUUUCUCUAUUCCAGGCAACAGCUGGGCACAUGUUGACCAAUCGCUCUUAGACUCAAGGAAAAAGAGGUCAAAAUACACCAGAAUUGUCCUCUAAGUCAAUGGGUCUCAGAUGGUUAUAAAAAUAACUCUAAAAAUAGUUAUUUUUAAAGCAACUCUAGGUUAUAUUUAUUUUUUUGAAACUUACUAUCAUACAUUUUUCUUAAAAUAUGAAUUUUAGUUAAUUAUCUCCUAAAAUAUAAAUACAGGCCCCUUAUCAUUUUUAUGGUAAGAGGACAAGAAGUGGAUUAAAUAGACAAGGAUAAGAUAACACAAAUACACACAAGAGGUUAGACAUUUGGUUGCUCUUCAGGGAAGCAAAAGUGUGACACUUUUUUUUUAACAUUGAAAAAUAUUUGAUGAUGUCUAAAG